CCUACCCCCUUAUGAUGUAACGAGGUCCGUGAACCCGUCCCCAAGGAAACAUACAAAUAAGAAUCUAUUAAAACAAGGUUACCACGGUAAUCUAUAAACAAAGGGCCAUCAGAGCUGUUCCGUGCUACAAAUUUAUGAAAAGAGCAUACAGUGGACCAUGGUGAGCAAGAAAGAUAAAAUACACAUUAAGAUACAACGAUGAAACCAUAGUCAUAGAUUGAACUAUCAGAAAG